rnacentral:rRNA from 1 species
UACGGAGGGGACUAGCGUUGGUCGGAAUUACUGGGCGUAAAGCGCUCGUAGGCGGAUUGUUUAGUCAGGGGUGAAAUCCCGAGGCUCAACCUCGGAACUGCCUUUGAUACUGGCAAUCUCGAGUCCGGAAGAGGUGAGUGGAAUUCCUAGUGUAGAGGUGAAAUUCGUAGAUAUUAGGAAGAACACCAGUGGCGAAGGCGGCUCACUGGUCCGGUACUGACGCUGAGGUGCGAAAGCGUGGGGAGCAAACAGG